GACUUUGUAGCUCAGUUGGUAGAGCAAUUGACUCUUAAUCAAUGGGUCGAGGGUUCGAGUCCCUCCGAGGUCA
rnacentral:tRNA from 1 species